GGCCUCGUAGCUCAGUUGUCUAGAGCGUUGGCGCCUUCCCCUUGCUGGCGUGGGUUUGAAUCCCACCGAGGCCG
rnacentral:tRNA from 1 species